rnacentral:rRNA from 1 species
UACCUACUCUUGACAUCCAGAGAACUUUCCAGAGAUGGAUUGGUGCCUUCGGGAAUUCUGAGACAGGUGCUGCAUGGCGGUCGUCAGUUCGUGUUGUGAAAUGUUGGGUUAAGUCCCGCAACGAGCGCAACCCUUAUCCUUUGUUGCCAGCGGUUAGGCCGGGAACUCAAAGGAGACUGCCAGUGAUAAACUGGAGGAAGGUGGGGAUGACGUCAAGUCAUCAUGGCCCUUACGAGUAGGGCUACACACGUGCUACAAUGGCGCAUACAAAGAGAAGCGACCUCGCGAGAGCAAGCGGACCUCAUAAAGUGCGUCGUAGUCCGGAUUGGAGUCUGCAACUCGACUCCAUGAAGUCGGAAUCGCUAGUAAUCGUGGAUCAGAAUGCCACGUUGUUUUACGUUCUCCGGGCCUUGUACACCCCCCCCGUCACACCCAUGGG